rnacentral:rRNA from 1 species
AAUUUUUGACAAUGGGCGAAAGCCUGAUGGAGCAACGCCGCGUGAGUGAAGAAGGUUUUCGGAUCGUAAAACUCUGUUGUAAGGGAAGAACAAGUACAGGAGGAACUGGCUGUACCUUGCCGGUACCUUAUUAGAAAGCCACGGCUAACUACGUGCCAGCAGCCGCGUUAAUACGUAGGUGGCAAGCUUUGGCCGGAAUUAUUGGGCGUAAAGCGCGGGCAAGCGGUCCUUUAAGUCUGAUGUGAAAGCCCACGGCUCAACCGUGGAGGGUCAUUGGAAACUGGGGGGCUUGAGUGCAGAAGAGGAAAGUGGAAUUCCAAGUGUAGCGGUGAAAUGCGUAGAGAUUUGGAGGAACACCAGUGGCGAAGGCGACUUUCUGGUCUGUAACUGACGCUGAGGCGCGAAAGCGUGGGGAGCAAACAGG